CUCCCGGGCCUCCGGAUCCUGGCUGGGAGCCAUCUCUGCCUCCUGCCGCUUCCUGCACUCCUGAUCAGGUCAGUGGCCAGUCACAGACCUCUGAAAUGUCCUUCCUGACUGUUAGCUCCACAGCAUUCCUACAGCUCCCGCCGCAGUUCCGCCCUCCGGAGGGUUCCAACAGCAGCCCAGUGCGCCUCCCCAGCCCCAGGCUCCCUCCACUCCAGUGAGCCUGCACCUGGCGCUCCCUGGCACACAUAUUUUCCAUUGCUCUUCACUGCCAAUUAAAUGCAAAUUUCUCAUCGUGGGGUUCCAAGUUCUCUGUAUUUGGUCCUCUUAUCCUGACAGCUCUACCCUCCCCAGAGCACUACAAUCUGGCCAAGAGCCUCACCAGCCUAUUCCCCCGAACCAUUGUUUUAUUUAUUUUAGAUUCAGGGGUAUUUGUAUGCAGGUUUGUUACAUAAGUAUAUUGCGUUAUGAUAAGGUUUGUGCUUCUGAUGAUGAUCCAGUCGCCCAACAUAGUACCGGAUAGUUAGGUUUUCUUCCAUUGCCCCCCUCUCCCUCCUUCCUUUUGGGGUCCCUGGUGUCUGUUAUUCCCAUGUUUAUGUCCUUAUGUACCCAGUGUUUAGAUCCCACUUAUAAGUGAGAGCAUGUGGCAUUUGGUUUUCUGUUUCUGCAUUAGUUUGCUUAGAAUAACGACUGCCAGCUGCAUCCAUGUUGCUGCAAAGGACAUGAUUUCCUUGUUUUUUAUGACUGCACAGUAUUCCAUGGCCAAAAAAAUGUGGUAUAAAAAUAUGUACCACAUUUUUUUAAUCCAGUCCACAGUCGAUGGGCACCUGGGUUGAUCACAUGUCUUCACUAUUGUGAACAGUGCUGCAAUGAACAUACGUGUGCAGGUGUCUUUUUGGUAGGACUAUUUAUAUUCCUUUGGGUAUAUACCUAGUAAUGGGAUUGCUUGGUCUAAUAUUCAUUCUAUUUUAGAUCUUUAAGAAAUCUGCAAACUGCUUUCCACAGGGGCUGCAUUAAUUUGCAUUCUCACCAAAGUGUGUAAGUAUUCCCUUUCUCCUCAACCUCUCCAGCAUCUGUUAUUUUUUGACUUUUUCAUAAUAGCCAUUCUGACUGGUGUGAAAUAGUACUUUAUUGAAACCACUGCUUUAGAAAGUGAAAGUCCUUUUCAGGUUUGUUUUUCAUUCACUGGCAGAGGUUGCUGGCCCAGCAGGGGUUGUGCAAACUCUGUCUUUGUUCCCCUGUAUUUGCCUUCCUCUCCCUUUUUCCUUCCUUUCCCUUUCUCAAUACACACACACACACACACACAACAUGUACAGAAGGGCUCUUAUCUGAAAUAAUCAAUAAAUAUCAAGGACGUGAAGAUGUCAUGCAAGGAGCAAAGGGGGAAAGUAAACAUAAGGAAAAUGUACAAAACCUAAUUUUUCACCAUGUAACCAGCAUGGGCUUUAAAGUCUACACAAGACAGACUACCACAAGCCUCUGCCCCUGCAGAAACUGGAUAAAUCCUGGAGAAUGACUAUAAUCUCCAUGACACAAAUUCUUCCUCAGAAGGAAGGAUCAAGGCUUCUGAAUAAAAGGGCUAGGAAAAGAAAUUUUCCUGAGGCUGCCAAAGGCAAGUAGGAUUCUUUUUCAAGGUCAACAGGCAUUAGAAACAGAAGACAUACACAGUAUGCCAGAAAAUUACAAGAUUUCCCUCUCCUUGACACCAAAGAGUUAAAUAUAGAAAUGUGCAUGUGGACAGUUAUUAGGAGAAAGGAGAAAGGGAAGAGAAGGUGGCCCAUUUCCUCCCUUGGCCAAAAAGAAAACAAACAACUUAAAUAAAACAAUAAGAUGCUAUCAUCAUGAAACACUGUGCAUGUGUUGGCCAGUAGGCUAUUAAUACACAGCACAGCCUGGAGCUUUGCUGAACAUGGAAAUGCUUCCAGCCUUUUUGCAACACUGCCUGUAUGAACACUGCUAAAAAUAUUGGUGGGAUAUAUAUGUGUGCUUGUGUGUGCAUGUGUGCUUGUGCAUGCAUGUGUGUGCAUGCAUGAGGAUGUAUGUGUUGCAUGUGUUUGUGAGCACGUCUCAGUAGAUCCCAACACAGACUGCUUUGAGGAGAAUUCAUUUUCAUUCCAUCCAGAGUUGCUCACAAGUCUGAUUAGCUGGGAUAGUAAAAGAGAAAGGAGCAGACAGAAAUCUAUCCCCCUUUUCUCUUUAUCUUUGAGACUCUUGGAGAAGCACAUGCCUUCACUCUCACCCCACAGAACAACACACCCUUCAGAACCCACUCCCACAACCACACCCACUCCAUUCUACACAGGCACAUCCAACUGUCCUCCUGUCUGUCUUCACCAUGGUGACCAGAGCCUCCACCCUCUACUUCCCUAAAGCAAAAAUUGGCAAAGAACCCAAGGAAAUGAAUGUCUUUCCAGUGAACCAAAGUUUUGUUAUGCACUGUUUGGAUAACAGUGUCCUAACAGAAUACCUGGAAGUUACAGAAUAUACUCAUUAAACCUAGCUGCCGGUUAGUAAGCCCUUGAAAUGCCUCAGGGCUCCCAUCAAAGAGUUUCUGGAGACAGAGGGCUAGGCCAGUAUCUAGGUCCUGUUUGAGAAUAAGAUUUCAUUUCAGAGACCACUUGCUACACUGUAUUGAGAAUGUUUCAGGGGCUGAAUCAGUCCCUCUGGGGGAAAAAUGAUCUCUGAAUGUGUGUCCUGGGUGUGGAAAGGGGAGUGGCUCAGAUUGGACAUCUUCAAUGUAGAGUGUACUCAUGCAUUGUCUCAGGAAUCCUCAUGGCUUCCGUACAGCAAGAAUCAAUCCACAUUUCACCCUUUCAUAAGGACUCCAGUCAUACUGGAGUGGGAUCCACCCUAAUGACCUCAUCUCCAUGUGGUUAAAACUCUUUUUCCAAAUAAGGCCACAUUCUGAGGUUUGGGGGUUUGGACUGCAACAGAUCUUUUGGAGAUCUUUUUGGAAGGGGCACAAUUCAACCCACAAAAGUAGUCCUUACCCAAAGGGACCUAUGGAUGUUUACUCAGGUGGCUAAUCACUGAGGAAAGGGGAAGUCUCAGACAGUCCAAGGACUACUGGACACAGGUCUGAGUUGACAUGGACACUUGGGUACCCACAGUGUCAUCACAGUCCCCUGUUAGAGUGGGGCCCCCCACGGACAGAGACUAAGUGGAGCCCUAGCUAAUGUCCAGCUCCUAAUGGUCCUGCGGAGUCCACUAACAUGCUGUGGGCAUUGCCCUGUUUCCUGAGUGCACAGAUGGAACUGAUCUACUUGAUAGUUGGAUUAGCCUUAACAUUGGGUCUCUGGCCCAUGGGCUAUGACCUGUCAUAGUGGAGGGCACCAAAUGGAAACUCUGAAAAUACCACUGUCAGCUGAGGUUGUCAAUCAAAAAUAAUAUUGCAUUCUGAAGUGGAUGGCAGAAAUUUGUAUCACCAUUAAAAUCCUCAAGGGUACAAGGCAGUGCUAUUAACCAUAUCUCUGUUUAAUUCACCAGCUUAGCCCCUGCAGAAACUGGAUAAACCCUGGAGAAUGACUGUAGUCUACACCAGGAUUAAACAAAUAGUAACCCUGAUUGCAGGUGCUGUACUAGACAUAGUAUCUUUGGUAGAACCAAUUAGUGAGGCUUUCGGUACAACCAUUGACAUGGGAGAUGCAUUCUUUUCCAUUCCAAUCAAGAAAGAGGAUCAGAAAUGGUUUGUAUUUAGGUAGGAUAGAAAACAAUAUUAAACUGAAGUUUUGCCUCAGGGCUAAAUGAACUCUACUGCCUUCUGUCCUAAAAUAGCUUGAGGAUAUGUGGACCACCUGAAUGUCCCACAGAACAUCAUGACACCUUGGUGAUGGGGCAGAACCAACAAUAGAUGGCUAUCUCACUAGAGGUCUUGGUAAGAUACAUGCACUAGAGAGGAUGGGAAAUAAACCCUAUAAAGAUUGAGAGAUAUACAUGUCAAUAAAGUCCUUACGGAUCCAAUGCUCAGGGUCAUUCCUGAAUAUCUCCUCUAAAUUCAAAUAAAACCACUGCAUCUUGCAUUCCCUACCACAAAGAAGGAAGCACAGUGCAUGGUGUGCCUCAUUUGCUUCUGAUGGCAACACAUUUCAUACCUAGGAAUGCUGCUUCAGCCCCUAUACUGGAUGACACAAAAGGGUGCUAACUUUGAGUGGAGCCUAAACUAGGAAAGAGCUCUGCAACAGGUCCGAACUGGAGUGCAAGCACACCUGCCACUGGAGCCGUGUUAUCUCACGGACCUCAUGAGGUUGUAGGUGUCAGCAGUGGGACAAGAUGCAUCAUAGGGUGGAAAUUGUAUAUCUAAGAUCAAACCUAGGCAGGACUGGAGGAUACGCAUGAGUAAUCCACAUAAGCUGGUAGCCCAGACCCCCAUGUCACCCACCGCGGCUAUACCAGCGCUCCUGCCUCAGCUCAUAUUUAUGGCCAUAUUGGAGUGCUGACACACUGAUCUGGGGUUACUCACUCACAUCAGGCACUGGAUGAGUACAGUGUCCUGGGCUAAAGUUGAUCUAUCCCAGACCCUCACCUUCAGCAGCAUCAGUGGCCCUCACAGCAGCUCUCCCUCCUCUGUAUUCCUACUUAGUGGCAGCUGUGGCCUGCAGCACCCAGAAACAGUGAGGUAGAGGGAAUGGCAAGCAUCCAUUACCCUGUGCUCCAUCAAUGGCACUGUCACCCCCUCUGUAGGCUCUGUGCCAUGUGUCAGGUAGUACCCAGGGCUUGUGAGACAUCACUCCAAGUUUCCAACCAGGUAUGCUCUUGAUUCCAGUGGAUGUGAUGACGUUGUGCUCUCUCAGGGCUUAGGCUAUGCCAGAGGAGGGAUGAACAUUCCUUGCUGAAUGAGAUCCCUCUAGCUGUUCCACCCAGGGCCUCUGGCCUGUCCUUUCCUUUGGUGAUGGAGUGUAGAAGGCAGGCGUGGAGUUAACACAGAAAGAUUUAACUUUCUGUGUUAGGCAGGCAUGGAGUUAACCCUCUGAAAACACAGGAUGCCAGUCUAAAGAGUGAAGAGAAAAUGUGGUUGGAAGAUGUGUUCUUCUACCUUUACAUCAUAAAUUUCAGAACAGUGCAUUUCAUGACCAGAAGAUGAAUUACUGUUCACAUUUUUCUGCAUGCUCUGGAUAAGAUUUGCAAUUGUGAUCAUUGCCAAUGGAAGCACAGUAACAGCUUUCAGAGGGUCAGUGGAAGCCAGUAUGGAAGAUAUACGCUGGACAAGGCAGCCUCUUGAGUGAUGAUGUAACUACCAUUAAACACAUGGUAUCAGGGAACUACAGAGGUAUGAUCUGUGUUGCUUCAAUACAAAAAAGUGAAGAAGAGCCACGGCACUGCCAGUAAUAAUGACGUUCCAUGAGAGAUAUACAAGUAGCCAGAACUUUUGCCACUAAGAAGAAACUUCACACUGAAAGGACAAUAGAUAAAUAUGUAAAUGCAUCUUGUCUACCUAUCACUCUAAAUCAAUUGAUCAGUGUAUACAUCACCAUGCCUCAUGAAUUUUGUCAUAAAUUUUUAAUCAAAUUGUUUAUGCAGAGGAUUCACGAAAAUGAGAGAGAUAAUCUGCCCUGGAUUAAUCAAUGACAUUUACCAAGCUCUAAUAAGAACAAGAAUUGUGCUAGAUACCAUGGAUACAAUAAAGAACAAUGCACAAAUGGACUAAAUGUAACUCACUGUCUAAACUGGUAGCAAUGCAUAUAGACAGACGCAGGGUGUCCUGAGCAGGGACAUAGGAAGGGGUGAUGGAAUGAACACCCAGCGAUGGUUCCGUACUGAUGUUCCCAGUUGAAGUCAUCAAAAAGGUGACCACUCCACAGGAACUCCAUUUGAGGGCCUUGUUCAAUGGGACUUUUCAGCCAUCCUCCCAAUCCAAGUAUUUUCUUCACCUAUUAAACUUGUCUUUGAUUAGCUCUCCAUUGGUCAGAGAUUCUGUGAGAUACCUAUGAAAAGAUGGAAGUGACACUUACAUAUGCCUAUCCCAACAGCCUAGCUGGAAAUCACCAAAAUGAGGCAAGAGAACAGGGUUUUUAGUGAACCUUUUUCCUGUGUGCCUGUUCUAGUUGAAGAAUCUGGGUUUAAUAGACCUAGAAUUCUUUAUAAAAGAAUUCUUGCCAGGCCAGGCGUGGUGGCUUACGCCUGUAAUCCCAGCACUUCAGGAGGCCAAGGCAGGUGUAUCAUGAGGUCAAGAGUUUGAGACUAGCCUGACCAACAUGAUGAAACCCCGUCUCUGCUAAAAAUACAAAAAUUAGCUGGACGUGGAGGCACAUGCUUGUAAUCCCAGCUACUCAGGAGGCUGAGGCAGGAGAAUCAUUUGAACCUGGGAGGCGGAGGUUGCAGUGGGCCGAGAUCGCACCAUUGCACUCCAGCCUGGGCGACAGAGUGAGACUUUGUCUG
rnacentral:lncRNA from 1 species